CACGGGAUGACGAGCAAUUGGAAGCUCACCUGGCUCAUAUCCAGGAGUAUGUAGGUUCAAGCCCUACUCCCGUAA
rnacentral:tRNA from 1 species